GCAUAACGCGAAGAACCUUACCCACCUUUGACAUGGCAGGAAUCCUUCAGAGACGAAGGAGUGCUCGCAAGAGAGCCUGCACACAGGUGCUGCAUGGCUGUCGUCAGCUCGUGUCGUGAGAUGUUGGGUUAAGUCCCGCAACGAGCGCAACCCUUGCCAUCAGUUGCUACGAAAGGGCACUCUGAUGGGACUGCCGGUGACAAACCGGAGGAAGGUGGGGAUGACGUCAAGUCCUCAUGGCCCUUAUAGGUGGGGCUACACACGUCAUACAAUGGCUGGUACAGAGGGUUGCCAACCCGCGAGGGGGAGCUAAUCCCAUAAAGCCAGUCGUAGUCCGGAUCGCAGUCUGCAACUCGACUGCGUGAAGUCGGAAUCGCUAGUAAUCGCGGAUCAGAAUGUCGCGGUGAAUACGUUCCCGGGUCUUGUACACACCG
rnacentral:rRNA from 1 species